AUUAAAACGGCACCGUUCCUGUUAAAACUGUCCCUCUUCUUUUUUCUUUUUUUUUUCUUUCUAAGCUUCAAACGGAAAUACCAUUCCACCUCCGGUGUUUCUUCACCAAGCUGAUAAACAUUAAGGCAUCACCACCGAGAUCGUAUCUUUUCACAACAUUCUCAAACCUUAAAAAAAAUCAUCAACUGGGUUGUCUUCAUUUUCAAUCGAAACAAUGCAGAGCUGGUUUUCAAGCAGUGGAGAAGAUCAACAACAAGAGAACCCCCCAUCUUCUUUGUUGGCUGAUUGGAACUCAUAUGCGCAACAAGCGAUGCAAAUGAAUCCACCAAUGGAUUAGGAAGCUUCGGUAGCUUUGAUCUUGAAGCUGCUGUUCGCUCUGCUAACGACACCGUUUCUGGCACCUUUAAUGUAGGGGUUUUUUUUGGCACUUUCAAUGCGUAAGCCAACGCAAGAAGAAAGGAUCUUUAUUGGCGCGAAUUGGACUUCAUGUAUCUAUUUUGUGUUUAUAUGGGAGAAUUUAGUUGUGGGGUU